rnacentral:tRNA from 1 species
ACCCGGAUAGCCUAGUGGUUGGGUGCUUGACUCUCAAUCUUGCACACUGGGUUCGAAUCCCAGUGGGUG